rnacentral:rRNA from 1 species
GACGAACGCUGGCGGCGUGCUUAACACAUGCAAGUCGAACGGAAAGGCCCUGCUUUUGUGGGGUGCUCGAGUGGCGAACGGGUGAGUAACACGUGAGUAACCUGCCCUUGACUUUGGGAUAACUUCAGGAAACUGGGGCUAAUACCGGAUAGGAGCUCCUGCUGCAUGGUGGGGGUUGGAAAGUUUCGGCGGUUGGGGAUGGACUCGCGGCUUAUCAGCUUGUUGGUGGGGUAGUGGCUUACCAAGGCUUUGACGGGUAGCCGGCCUGAGUGGGUGACCGGCCACAUUGGGACUGAGAUACGGCCCAGACUCCUACGGGAGGCAGCAGUGGGGAAUAUUGCACAAUGGGCGGAGGCCUGAUGCAGCAACGCCGCGUGCGGGAUGACGGCCUUCGGGUUGUAAACCGCUUUCGCCUGUGACGAAGCGUGAGUGACGGUAAUGGGUAAAGAAGCACCGGCUAACUACGUG